rnacentral:lncRNA from 1 species
UUAUACUAACGCUGCAUAGCUACCCCAAACUUAAAGGUUGUUAUCCCAACAAUAACCCCAAACUUAAAAUGAACAUAGAUCUGAUAACUCACAUAAAUAUUCUGAAUAGUGUGGGGAAGUGUUUGGGCCAUGGUUUAAUCUGAUGUGGUUUUUAAAAUAAACAAAUGGAUAAAGACUAAAUUGGGGUUAAUGAAUGGAUAAU